rnacentral:rRNA from 1 species
GAUGAACGCUGGCGGCGUGCCUAAUACAUGCAAGUCGAGCGAACGGACGAGAAGCUUGCUUCUCUGAUUUUAGCGGCGGACGGGUGAGUAACACGUGGAUAACCUACCUAUAAGACUGGGAUAACUUCGGGAAACCGGAGCUAAUACCGGAUAAUAUUUUGAACCGCAUGGUUCAAAAGUGCAAGACGUUCUUGCUUUCACUUAUAGAUUGAUCCGCUCUGCAUUAGCUAGUUGGUAAGGUAACGGCUUACCAAGGCAACGAUGCAUAGCCGACCUGAGAGGGUGAUCGGCCACACUGGAACUGAGACACGGUCCAGACUCCUACGGGAGGCAGCAGUAGGGAAUCUUCCGCAAUGGGCGAAAGCCUGACGGAGCAACGCCGCGUGAGUGAUGAAGGUCUUCGGAUCGUAAAACUCUGUUAUUAGGGAAGAAAAUAUGUGUAAGUAACUGUGCACAUCUUGACGGUACCUAAUCAGAAAGCCACGGCUAACUACGUG